GCCUCUUGUGUGUGAUUGACAGCUCUGCCAGGGCAGGGGGCGAGGCUCUGUCCCACCACAAACCAAGGCUUGACCCAGCCCUGGCCCCACACGAGCAUUCCGAGCAUCCCAAGGUGUCUCGGGACACCGAUCUCAUCCAGCCUCUGACAGCAACCACAGUGACGCUACAGAACCUCAUGGAACCAUGGGUCAGUUGUGACACUCUGGUGCCUCAUGGAAUCAAGGAGACCAUUGUGAAACCUGGGGUGCCCAAGGAGGCAAGGGUCCAUGGUAACCUUGUGGAGCCCGCAGUGUCACAGAAGAGGCAUUGUGAAACAGCAAGGGCACAGGGAGCCCAGGGGCCAUGGUGACACAUCAGGGCUUUGUGGAAUCAUGAAGCAUGGUGACAUUGCAAGGCCUCAUGGGAGCACAGGGCCAUUGUGACACUGCAGAAGCAGGGGGAACAUUGUGACACUCCAGGGCCUCAUGGAACUAAGGAGACCAUUGUGACACUGUGGGGUCCCAAGAAACCAAUGGACCAUGGAACAAGUCUGGCUGGCUGGGCCUCAUGGGGACCACCUGACAGGUCCAGCUGACCUUGGCAUGUUGAGGGCUGCUUCUCAUCUGUCCCUGAAGCACUGGGGCUCAGGGCUUUCCUUCAUAGUGGAGAGAGCUGUCCUUCUCCUCCAGGGGCGAUGGCCAAAAUUGGGAUUCUUCCUCCAAAUUUCCUUACAUGCAAAGAUUGUUCCCAGAUGAAAUCUGCCAGGACUAACAAAUCUGUCUGUCUUGGCCCCCCAAGGGCCAUCUCCCAUCUGCCUUUGAAACACUGGGACCAUGUGCUUCUCUUUCUUAUGGGAAAAAAAACAUCCAUCUCGACCAGGCACUCAUAGCCAAAAUUGGGAAUCUGCUUCCAGAAUUCUCUAUAACCAAGGAUAACUCCCAGACAAAAGCUGUCCCCACUGAAAAGUCUGGCAGGCCUUGGCUUCCUGAGGGCUGGCACUCAUCUUCCUCUGAAACCCUUGGGCUCUGUGCUUUCCUUCCUAAUGAAAAGAACUCGUCUGGUUGUCCAGGCACCCACAGCCAAAACUGAGAUUCCACCUCCAAAAUACCCUAUGUCCAAGAACAGCCCAUAGAGACAGGCUGUGUUGGCCUAAAAGUUUAAUAUUCCGAAACGCUUGGACUUGGCAUUUUUCUUUCCUGUAGGUAAAAACCAUCCAUCCUGACAAGGUGCCCAUGGCCAAAACUGGGAUUGCACCUCCAAAACUCCAUACAUCCAAGGAUUGCUCCCAAAUGAAAGCUGCCAGGACAGACAGGUCUGGCUGCCCUUGGCCUCUUGGGGGCUGCCUCUCACCUGUUUUUCAAACACUGGGGCUCUGUGCUUUUCUUCCAAUGGAAAAGAACUGUCCUUCUUCUCAAAGUGUCCAUAGUCAAAAUUGAGAUUCCUUCUCCCAAAUUCCACAUAUACAAGGAUUCCUCCAUAAUAAAAACUGCCAGGACAAAUAGGUCUGGCUGGCUUGGCCUCCCAGGAGCCACCUCUCUCCUUUUCUGUCUUUGAAACCCUUGGUCUCUGGGCUUUUCUUCCUAGGGAAAAGAACCACCCUUCUUGUCUAUAUAGAAAUGGCCAAAAUUGGGAUUCCACCUCCCAAAUUCCUUAUAUCCUAGGGUUGCUGUCAGACAAAAGCUACCAGGACAGAGGUCUGGCUGGCCUAGACCUCUGAUGGCCGCCUUUCAUCUGCCCCGCAAACACCGGUGUUCUGUGCUUUCCUUCCCAUGGAAAAGAACCGUCCUCUUCUGGGAGUCCAUGUCUGAAAUUGGGAUUCCACCUCUAAAAUUUUGUAUAUCCAAGGGUUGCUCUCAGGAAAAAUCUACCAGUACUGUCAAGUCUGGCUGGUCUUGGCCUCUGAUGACUGCCCUGCAACACUGGGGCUGGGUUCUUUCCUUCCCAUGGAGACCCCUGGGACACUGUGGGGACCUCAUGAAGCCAAGGGGAUCCUUGUGGCACCACUGGAGCCCAUGGAACCAAGGGGCCGUGGUGACACAUCAGGGCUUCAUGGAACCCAGAGACUAUUGUGACCAUGGAGACCAUUGUGACCCUUCAGGGCCUCGUGUCACCAAGGGGGCAUUGGGACACCUCAGGGCCUCAUGGAAGCAAGGGACCAUUGGGACACUGUGGGGCUCCAUGGAACCGAGGGAAUGUGGAACAGGUCUGGCUGGCUUGGCGUCCCAGGGACCACCUGACAGAUUUUCAGGGCUGUGCUGAGGAUCCCCUCUGAGCAUGGACGGCACAAAGCCUUUUCCACCUGCCUUCCUCACCUGGCUGUAAUGUCUCUGUUCAUCAGCACUGGAACAUUUGCCCACCUAAAGCGCCCCUCCACCUCCUCCCCAUCCCUGGAUCUGGCAGUGUCAUUUCUGUACUCGGUGGUGCCUCCAGCCCUGAGCCCCCUCAUCUACAAUCUGAGGAACCAGGAGCUCAAGGCUGCAGUGUGGAAACUGAUGAAUGGAUCCGUUCAGAAACAUUGAACUGCUGGACAAUUUCUGAAAAUCACAUUUAAUAAAAGGCAUUUUCAAUACUU